AACGAGCGCAACCCCUGCAUUCAGUUGCCAUCGGGUGAAGCCGGGCACUCUGGAAGGACUGCCAUCGACAAGAUGGAGGAAGGUGGGGACGACGGUCAAGUCAUCAUGGCCCUUAUGUCCAGGGCGACACACGUGCUACAAUGGCCGGCACAACGGGGAAGCGAGUUCGCGAGGACGAGCGGAUCCCUUAAAGCCGGUCGCAGUUCGGAUUGAAGUCUGCAACUCGACUUCAUGAAGCUGGAAUCGCUAGUAAUCGCAGAUCAGCCAAGCUGCGGUGAACUACGUUCCCGGGCCUU
rnacentral:rRNA from 1 species